ACAGUGGUGGCUCAGUGGUAGAAUUCUUGCCUUCCAUGCAGGAGACCAGGGUUCAAUUCUCUGCCAAGGCA
rnacentral:tRNA from 1 species